CACUCAGAAAGCUGGCGCCAGCUAGCAAGCCUUUCAGUGCUUCUCCUGUCCCUGGUCCGGUCCCAGGUCCCUGGUCCCUGGUAUUUGUUUUUGCAAGAUCAGCAGAGACGCUCCAAGCUCCACAUGGUCUCAGCAAGACCCGAUCGCCACUUUCCUGGCGCUCUGGGUAUUUCCUGAGCUCCACAAAAUUGCUCUCUGCUUCCCUCUCUUUCCGUGUUAUUCUUGCUUCUGGAACCCAACGUACCAGGUUUCUUGGCUUCUGGAACCCAAUAGCUCUCGCUGGACCCACACCCACUCCCGGGCGGCAGCUGCAGCGAGGGCGUGACCGGCGGCAGCUGCAGCGGAGGGCGUGACGGAAGAGGCCAGAAGGACCGUCAGAACGCAGUGGUGCUGACCUAGGAAUGUGGGAACCAGGCGAGAAGGAAUUUUUAGCGGAAUUAAAAUGAUACUGCCUGAAGAUCAUUUGCAAGAGCAAAACAAAUGCAAAACGUGUUCUGGGCAAGAAUGUUUUUCCAGCUGGACCUUGUUCUGCUUCCAGAAAUAAGUGAGGCUUCAAUGUGCAAUCCACAUCGACCUCAACCUCAAGAACCUCCACCCGCAAGUCUCUCAGAUUGGAUCGCCAUUCAAUACCUCAAAUGUUAGAACUAAAAGCCCGUGCCUUCACAUCUGGGUAGCCAAGGUAACUCAAGUCCUUGUAGGACAGUGAGUCUUCACAGUCUACUUCAAUCCUCUACACCAAGUAGAAGUGCCCAUUUUUGACUAGUUAAGUCAAGAGGCAACCAACACUUCCAAAGUAGUACACAUUUCUGAUUAAGUGGCAAACUUCCAACUGGGCUUCGAGUGGCACAAGGUAAAACCAACCACUCCCAUCUUAAUGCACUAAGUACAUCUUGGACAAGGACAAAGCCCGCCAUGCGUGACUAAGCAAAGCCCGCCAAGAUUAAGCCCGCCAAGACUAAGCCCGCCAGGAAGAAAAAACCCUCGAGGGACAAUCACGUGACAUCGCCAUCUUGGCCACCCCAAAGCAUGUGCUACAUUGUCCUCCAGGCUAACUUUGGCCACCAGACUGGCCUGUGAAAAACAAAGCCCGCUACCUUAUACUGCAGCAAGAGCUCGAGACGCCAUCUUCUCUUGUGUAACCUAAAUGCUCUACUUCCACGCUACACGUUAGAAUAAAGGUGGGGUUGUCGAGCCUCGGGUAGAGCAGCCGAGACACCAUUUGAUAAACCCUAACAAGCACCCCUUAGAAUCUGGGCAGAGCCCCCCAGCAAUAUCGAAACAUUGAUUUCAAGCCCUAUCCUGAAGUCUUAUAAAGCUCCUUUUACAUAACACCACACACGAACACGAGAGCUUGAUUUUCUGCUUCCCGUUACCAUGAGUCUUAAAAAGCCACAAAUCAAGUCCAAACCCACACACAUACAAAGCCUUUAGCUGGUGCAGCACACGAUUGCCUCUGUCCAGUCCAGUGUCUACCUCGACCCCCUAAUUCUAGCCAUAACUGGCUCAUGUCACGCAGCAACUGUAACAUGGCGGAAACGGGCUCUCCACGCCCUUAACACCCACUCGGCUUAAGCGCAGUCAUUUUUCUAAGCCAUAGUUUCACUCACACACCACCAAACGAUCAGCAGCGCAGCAAGAGGAAAGAAAAGAGGUAUGGCUAUUCCAGAUAGUGCAAUAAUAACUCACAAAACCAACUUAUAUCCAUCCACCAAAUGCCCCGAUGGGCAAAGGGAAAAAAAAUGAAGCAGGUAUCCACUACCCCGAUGGGCAAAAAGAGAAAAAAAAAAUUAAGCAGGUAUCCAAAGGCCCCGAUGGGCAAGGAAAGACUAAACGCAGGUAUCCGAGGUCCCGAUGGACCAAGAAAUACGUUUUCUUGUAACAAAAAGCAGGUAUCCAUUGCCCCGGUGGGCUAAGGAAACAAAAAAAAAAAAAAAAAAAAGGAGCAGGUAUCCUUAGCCCAGAUGGGCAAGUUUAGAAGAAAGAGAAGGAAGAGGGAAAAAAAACCAAAACGAAUUAAAAGCAGGUAAGUAUCCACAGCCCCACUGGACAUGGGGUGAAGGGAGAGGCAAGAAGGACACACAUUCAACUGUAGCCCCGAUGGGCAAAAACAGAUGGAAUAAAAGAAAGGUAAGUGCACAAAAGUCCACAAAACAGAUGGCGACUAAAAUGACUGACAAGGAAAUAGUCAUUAAAAAUGAAAAAUUGUCCAAAAAUAUUACAAAUAUCAAAAUAUGAAAGACGUGUCAAGAAAAACCUACCAGAACAUAUAAAAUCUUCAAAAAUAUUAUGGAAUCUUGAUAUAUUUUCUUAAAUACACCAUAAGGCAUGGUGGUAAGGGAACUAAAAAUGUUCCCAGAGACCCCGGUAGAUGGACAGAGACCACAGAGGAGGCUCCCAUCCACGGGAAACUGGCAAACAUGGCUGCGGCGAGCACUUGCAUGGGUUUAAAUGAUCGUGACGCCGAAGGCGGAGAGACCAGAAGAGGAGUGGCCAGAAAUGCGGAAAAGUCCCGACUUCUUAUUGGCGUUUUAAUGCAAACUAUUUUCUAAAAAGAGUAAGAUGAAAAUUAAUUAUGAUUGUACCAAAACUCAAUGACAGCGAUCGAGAGAACCACCAAAUUUGCAUAUUUUGUGUGAUAUUGAAGGAUUAUCCUCUAUUUUAUAGCUUAUAGGAAAGGCACAUAAACGUUGUAUAAUAUAUAUGCAUAUUUUCAAUAUAUAGUCUACUUGGACAUCCGACCUUGCAUAGCCCCUCGUCUUGGUGACUAAAAUGCUUUACGGAUCAAUUGGUGCGCUCGAGUUAAGGAAAAAGAAGAGGUGCUCCACAAAAUGGUUCCUUGGUUCCUAAAUUAUUAGAGUAUUAUUGGCUGUGACCUAUUUGUACUGAUUGCGCGCAGAAUUUUGGUUCUGUAUCAUUUUUGUACUUUCCGGGAAUCUGGUAACUCCAAACCUUGAACCAAAAAGGCACUUAAAAAGUUUACUUCCUAGCAGCGGUAGAAAAAUCUCUAAAAGCCAAAGCAAAAGUUGAGAAAUAUCUCAGCGGUGUGGCACUUGCCCUAGAGAAACAGUUAACUUAGAGAAUUGUUCAAUUUUAUUCAUUGAAAACCGCGGGACAGCAGCCUGAAAGAGAUUAAACACCAGGUGUUAAGAACAAUCAAAGAAUACAAUGCUUGGUUGAUUCAAUUAAACAAAAUAUGUCACUGGGCAUCAGAUGAAUAAAUAAUAAAGAACACAAAAUUG